rnacentral:sRNA from 1 species
GGCAACGCCCUGUGAUAAUUCCAGAUGAUUCUCUACAUCUGCAGCUUGAGGUGGGAAGUCUGAAGCUCAGAGAGCUUGGGCCAAUGGUGCAGGUCACACAGCACAUCAGCGGCUACAUGUGAGCUCAGACCUGGGUCUGCUGCUGUCUGUCUUCCCAAUAGCCAUGACCUUGACUGAUGCAGGUGUCCAGGGAUAUGUCCAUCCCCGUCCUGCUGGAGCCCAGAGCACGGAAGCCUGGCCCUCCGAGGAGACAGAAGGGAGUGUCGGGCACCAUGACAAGAGCUCAGCAGAAUAAAUAAGUUCUUUAAACAAUUUUAUGGCAUGAAGAAAUCUGGACCAGUUUCUUAAAUGGGAUUUCUGCCACAAACCUUGGAAGAAUCACGUCAUCUAAGCCCAAGGUGAAAACUACGUUGCGUAACAGAGAACAUGACUGCGCUCCACACACAUCCUCUGGCAAGGCGGGACACAGGCCAGCGACGGAACACUUGAGACAGGCCUGCAACCAUGCACAGUUCAGAAGCAGGUUUAAGCAUACUUGCUGCAGUGAGACUCCAUUUCUGUCUAAAGAAGAUGUCCCUGACUUUUUCUGCUUUUCAGCUCCAGUUCCCACAUGCACGUGUUGUGGUCCCC